rnacentral:tRNA from 1 species
GAGACGUUAGCUCAGCAGGUAGAGCAUGUGACUUUUAAUCACAGGGUCCCGGGUUCGAGCCCCGGACGUCUCACCA